rnacentral:rRNA from 1 species
AGAUUUAGGCUUUCGUGGGUGACCUGCGGAAGGAUCAUUA